GUUAUCGUUUAUUUGAUAGUACCUUACUACUUGGAUAACCGUGGUAAUUCUAGAGCUAAUACAUGCUAAAAACCCCGACUUCGGAAGGGGUGUAUUUAUCAGAUAAAAAACCAAUGCCCUUCGGGGCUCCUUGGUGAUUCAUAAUAACUUAACGAAUCGCAUGGCCUUGUGCCGGCGAUGGUUCAUUCAAAUUUCUGCCCUAUCAACUUUCGAUGGUAUGGUCUUGGCUUACCAUGGUUUCAACGGGUAACGGGGAAUUAGGGUUCUAUUCCGGAGAGGGAGCCUGAGAAACGGCUACCACAUCCAAGGAAGGCAGCAGGCGCGCAAAUUACCCAAUCCCGACACGGGGAGGUAGUGACAAUAAAUACUGAUACAGGGCUCUUUUGGGUCUUGUAAUUGGAAUGAGUACAAUUUAAAUCCCUUAACGAGGAACAAUUGGAGGGCAAGUCUGGUGCCAGCAGCCGCGGUAAUUCCAGCUCCAAUAGCGUAUAUUAAAGUUGUUGCAGUUAAAAAGCUCGUAGUUGAACCUUGG
rnacentral:rRNA from 1 species